rnacentral:rRNA from 1 species
AUUGAACGCUGGCGGCAGGCCUAACACAUGCAAGUCGAACGAGUGGCGGACGGGUGAGUAAUGUUUGGGGAUCUGGCCGAUGGAGGGGGAUAACUACUGGAAACGGUGGCUAAUACCGCAUACUAUCGGAUGAACCCAUGUGGGAUUAGCUAGUGGGUGAGGUAAAGGCUCACCUAGGCGACGAUCUCUAGCUGGUCUGAGAGGAUGACCAGCCACACUGGGACUGAGACACGGCCCAGACUCCUACGGGAGGCAGCAGUGGGGAAUAUUGCACAAUGGGCGCAAGCCUGAUGCAGCCAUGCCGCGUGAAUGAAGAAGGCCUUCGGGUUGUAAAGUACUUUCGGCAGGGAGGCGUUAACUACAGAAGAAGCACCGGCUAACUCCGUGCCAGCAGCCGCGGUAAUUC